UCAACAUUCUUUGUAGAAUUGUCACCUGCAAGGUCACUAAUAACCUCCCAGUGACUCUAUCCAGUGGACACCUUUCUGUCCUUAUUUUCUUGACCUCUUUGAAGCAUGUGACACCAUUGACCACUUUCUUUUUGAGACUUCCUCUUCACUUGCCUUUGGCAGGUUUCCCUGGUAUCCAUCCCAACUGCUGAGUCCAGAGUUGGUUCCUGGCCUAGGUACUACCUCAGUACACUCUGUCCCUCCAGCAUAGCACUAAUGGCAUUAUGCUGGUGACUGGUGGAAAGCUGAAACUUCAUCAAAUAUCCUUCUGAUUCCAGGUGGUAUAAAAGAAGCAGAUUUAUGAUUAAAAGGCCAGCACAGACAAGGUAACGAAUCAGACCCGGCACAUGACAUAUUUGAAACCAAAAAGAGAGGUCAACUAACAACAAUCAACAAAGAAAAUAGAGACAUAGAGAAAGGACCAACUUACUUCAUUAUAAUAAUACAGUAUGUAACACAUAUAACAGACAGAAUAUGUGUUGACCAUCUAUGGUACAGCAGAGUGCAUCAGUAGGAAGCCAUUUUAUGGAGGUGCCACAGAGAGGAAAGAGCAUUGAGGCAUUAUCAGCUGAUGGAACAUCUUUCUGAUGGACUGGUUUUCACCUAAAGACUCUGAAUUCAUAUCUCUUGUGUGUCUGCCUAUUCAAAAGGAGGCUGGCUCUGAUACUGUGUGUAACUUUCUGUUAAUAUCAGAGUGUACUGUGUGUAACUUUCUGUUAAUAUCAGAGGGAGUUAUUGGAGUAAAUGUCUCUCUCUGGGAAUAUACUAUAAACCACAACAGAUGGGGGUCAGGUUGGUCUGUUUACACCAAUUCUUGAUUGCUUUUCCACUGCUGAGGAAGACCUUAAGUUUUAUGGGUAGCAUAAAUCGCAACUAUAGUCUAGGAUUCCAUAUUCAGCCUCUAACAUAAAAGACCUGUCAAAUGCAAUACAUCUUGUGAAGAGCAGAACCAGAAAGGAAAACUGAAUUUUAUCUGUAAGCAAGCUCUUUAAAAAUUGGAGACUGUAAAUCCUUAUUUAAUACUGAGAGUUUUGAUUCCAGAUGAUAAACCAAAUGAAAAGGCAAAUACAAGAUUAUUUUUUCAAAAGAAACUUUAAAAGCCAGCCCACACAGGCACAUUGUAUCUACUUCCAUUCUGCUUGUGUUUAUCAACCAGAGAUCAGUCUCUACUUGUUUACGUUCAAGAGAAAGCAUUCAUUCAAAGAAAGUAUCCAAUAGUGGCAUUAUAAAAACAUACAAACACAAAGUCUUUUGCUCCCUAUUUUAUUAUGUUUUUUUUUUAACACCAUGCUCUAUUUAUCAAUUUGAUUGACCUCAAGUGGGCCCUUAUUUUGUCCAGAUCCUACUAUAUUUUCCUGGUCUAUUUAUUCUCUUGUUCACCUAAUAACUAUUUCAUCUCUUUGCUCUGCUCAAAUGUUUAACAUCUUUUCCACAUAUUACUCUCAGUUAAUGACCUUAACGCCUCUUUCACAAGGAAACAGAACUGAGAACAUUCAGACAGAUUCUGGCCAUCAUAUCUAAUCUACUUAUCCCACCCCCACCAGACUUUCUGCUCUGCUUCUCCAGUGAGUGAACUGGGCAAGCUCUAACCCAUAACCAGUCCUCCUAAUGCUCCCUAGAUUCUAUCCCAUUGACAUUCUCUAGGAUAUCUUUCAGAAGUUCUCCAUAAAACAGAUUAAAUUUUAAAAUGACAUGCUUCUAAGAGUAUCUUCCCCUUUGUUUUCCUUAGUGAAAAGAUAAUAUACACUAUGAAAAUGGAUACUUAAGUAUUUUUAAGAAUAACGAAAACAACACGUAUGUCUAGGCUCUUUUAAAAAUAACAUCAAAAUAAAAUUCAGUUUACACAUGCCAACCAGAUUAAAUCAAAACCUGAUGGUAAGGGAAAAUGCUUUGGACUGGGUCUAGAGGCCUGUGUCUAGUCCUUGUUCUUUGGGAAAUUCACUGAACAUCUCUCAGCCUUAAAGGAUUAGACUUAGAGAUUUCUAUGGUCCCAUCCACUUUUCAGAUUCUUCUCUAGUACUUGCAUUCUUUCAGACAUAAUUCUUUUGAAAGCAAUUUAUGGGUAACAAAUUUUUUACUUAAUCCAACUACUUGUUUUCAGAAUAUGUAGAGGGUUUUUUUUUUUUUACCUUUUUAAAAAGUUUGUCUUAAUCCCAGUAAACAGUGUUAUAUAAAUUUCAGGUGUACAGUAUAGUCAGUGAUUUCAUACAUCAUCCAGUGCUCAUCAAGACAAGUGUACUCCUAAUCCUCAUCACCUGUUUCACCCACUACCCCCACCUACCUCUCCUCUGGUUUGUUCUCUACAGUUAAGAGUCUGUUUCUUGGUUUGCUUCUCUCUCUCCUUUUUUUUUCCCUUUGCUCAUUUGUUUUGUUUCUUCAAUGCCACAUAUGAGUGAAAUCACAUGUAGAAUACCUGGUUAUUUGAUAGUAUUUUGUAUUUGAUGCCAAACCAGUGGAUACUUAGAGACAUAGUUGUAGAUCAGAUAUAUACAGCUGAAGGGAUUAAGUAAUUAACAGGUAAUACACCCUUCUGGUAGCUGAAUCCCUCAGAAAACAGGGCCAACCUUUCCUCUUGGUGCCCAAUAGGUCUGCAUAUACAAGCCUGAUCACUAAGGAAAUAAGAAGAAAUAAAGAAAGCCCCUCAGAUACAAGAGGAAAAACAGGUGUGAUCUGAAGGCUACCCAUGUAUCCAAUCUUACUGCCAAAAAAAUAGAGCAUUUCAUUUUCUGAGCACCUAGCCCAGAAAUGUAGUGAGAUUGCUCAUCAGCCUCUACUGUCUGGACAGGAAGCUUCCAGCUGUCCUUCUUAAACCUCAUUGUACUUACACGCAUUCUUCUUUUCCUAUCCUUCAAAUGCACUCACUUUUGAUCUCCAUGUGAAAUCAAUUCGGGUAUAUCACCAAUGAUAGGAAUUUCUAAAACACCGUCUAGGUUUUAAUUUUCUAAAUCCAAUGAUAUAUCUUAUAAAGGGUUAGUAUCCAAAAUAUAUAAAGAAAUUUUAAAACUUAACACUCAAAAAACAACCCAGUAAAAAUGGGCAGAAGACAUGAAUUGACAUUGUUCCAAUUUUAUUUUAAAUGGCCACUAUCAUAAAUCCUUUUGUUAAAUGAAAAGCCAUCCUCAGUAUUUGUCAGUUUUGCUUUUUUGAAACAGGGACACAAGUACACGUUACAAAUCAUUCAGACAUUUGCACCCAAAGAGUAGAAGGCAGGCAUGUUCUUUAGUCAUCUCAGCAACAGAAAUGUUAAAAAGAAAAAUCUCAAAAUAAAUUAGCAUAAUCUUAUGAGUAUAAUGUUUAGCAGAAUAAGCAAGUGUCACACAGAUGCAUGUAGGAUGUUAUCAUUUAAAUAAAGUUCAAAACGAGGCAAACUAAAUGUAUAUUUUAGGAAUACAUGCAUAGAUGAUAAAACUAUAAAGAAAAGUUGAGAAAUUAUUAUCACAAAAAUUAAAUCACAAAAAAAGGGAAGGGAGAGAGAAAGUGAUACCAGGGAUGGAAGGGUGAACACAGGCCUUUUUUAAGGUGCUAACAAUCUAUAGCUCACAUGUGUGGCAGAUGCCAACUCUGUAAUUAUUCUUUACAUCAAAUAUGUAUGCUUCAUAUACUCUAUGUAUAAUAUUUUUAUAAUAAAGAAUAAAUUAACACCAACUUUAGUUUUGAAAUAAAUCUGACUUCUUAUAUUUUUCAGUUUGGGAAAACAGUGGGAAAAGAACAUGGAAAGGAGACUUAUACUUGAACAACUAUGGAGUGUAUCACUAAUGGAUUAGUUUAGUAUUCUUACACAACUGGUGGUAGACUGUGUAUAUGAGUAUGCAUUUUACAAGGGAUGGGGACUAUUCACUUAUCUAUCAAUUCUUUGCUUCAAUCAAUAUUUAUUUAAAACCCAUCACAUAUGAGGCAGUAGAGAUACAAAGAUGAACAAGACAUGAGCUCUAAUCUAGAAGAGUGUAUAAUCUAGUGCUAGAAGACUAGUACCUUUCUAACUUGCCAAAAUGAUAGCCCUUCCCUUCCUUCCCCACUCUUCCCAGUUGGAACUUCCAAUGUCUCUUGUUUUACUCUCUAGUUUCCAAGCCAAUCAUCUGGACAGGAUUUCUAUUGGUGGCCUCAGGAUCCAUCACUUGGUAGAGAGUGAUAAUGCUAUCAGACCCAGUGUUCAUCAGGGCAGAGUAAGCCCUGGGCUUCUGACUCCUACGAUAUUAACUAAGCCUACUAAACAGUUUCUCUUCCUAGCACUAGCCUUCAACUCCUCCUGCCAGUUGGGUUGCCCACUCUCCACAGCCCCACACUGAUUUGAGUGAUUUCUCAAGCACAUCAUUCCCUGUAUGGUAUCCCGAAGGGUCAGUGUCCUCAGCUGCAGUGUCCACUAACUGAGCUACCUAUUGCUGAUACCCACACACUCAAGUCCACCAAACAGCCUCCUGCCUGACUUCAUGGGGCUCAUCCUGCAACCUGGUUAAGUCCCCUAGUCCCAGCCGACCAAGUGCUCACUCUCUCUGCCUUUCUCCUGAACAGUCUCCCUAGGCUUUGCUCCAAAACAGACUAAAAUGACAACAAUGUAAUAAAUAUAAUAGAGGUAUCUACAGAGUGAUUCAGAAGCAGAGAGGAAGAAUUGGGGUGGGGAUGGGAGUAAAGGAAACAACUAAUUUGAAUCUUAAUAAGAAGUGUACCAAAUGAAAGAACAAAGAAACUUUCCAGCAAGGAGGAACAGAUUCUUCAAAGGCAUAAAUAUGGGAAUGAAUCUGACAUGCUGGGAAAACAAGUUUUAUGCAUUCAAGGAAUGAUGAUAGAACAGUAGAUAAGGGGAAAAAGAAGAAAGAUCUUAAAGUCUUACCAACAAAAAUGUACCCUAUUUGGCAUGCAUUUAAUUUAUUCUUGUCACAGUAACGAUGACAUAAUGAGGUAAUGCAUUGUGUUAUGGGGAGAUUAGUGUGGGCUCACUCAUUCUCAAAAUUUAUAAGGCUUAGCAUUCAAGGAACUCUGAGCUUCUUUAGUAUGACUGCAAUCAUCCACAUGUUUCCUCAGAUAGGUGACAGAAGCAGGUACAGCAC